AUUGAACGCUGGCGGAAUGCUUUACACAUGCAAGUCGAGCGGCAGCGCGGUCUUCGGACUGGCGGCGAGCGGCGAACGGGUGAGUAAUACAUCGGAACAUGCCCAGUCGUGGGGGAUAACACUUCGAAAGAAGUGCUAAUACCGCAUACGUCCUGAGGGAGAAAGCGGGGGAUCGCAAGACCUCGCGCGAUUGGAGUGGCCGAUGUCAGAUUAGCUAGUUGGUGGGGUAAAGGCCUACCAAGGCAACGAUCUGUAGCUGGUCUGAGAGGAUGAUCAGCCACACUGGGACUGAGACACGGCCCAGACUCCUACGGGAGGCAGCAGUGGGGAAUUUUGGACAAUGGGGGCAACCCUGAUCCAGCCAUUCCGCGUGAGUGAAGAAGGCUUUCGGGUUGUAAAGCUCUUUCGGCAGGAACGAAACGGUGAGCUCUAACAUAGCUUGCUAAUGACGGUACCUGAAGAAGAAGCACCGGCUAACUACGUGCCAGCAGCCGCAGUAAAAC
rnacentral:rRNA from 1 species